AGUAGAAUUGCUGGAUCAUAGAGUAACUCUAUGCUUAACUUUUAGAGGAACUUCCAAAUUCUUUUCCAAAGUGAAUGUACUAUUUUUGCAGUACCACCAGCAGU
rnacentral:pre_miRNA from 1 species